CAGUCUUCACUGGGAUCCCACUCCCUGUUCCUCUUUCCUGCAGGGAAAUUCACUCCUGUGGAGCCUGGGCUGGGCCAUCGCGGUGACAGCACUGUCACCUGGAUCCUCAUCGGAUCCUCACUGCACCUCUGAGAGCAGGUGGUAUCACCCCCACGGAGAACAGGAGGAAGCUGGGCCCCGGGUCCAGAAACGUGGCCACGUCCCCUGCCUGGGAAGGACUGUCUGGGGAGGGGCCUCUGUGUGCUUCCAGCCUCUUUCCUGCAUCCAGGUUGAGCUGACUGGUCGGGAGGACACAGGGUGUCCUGUCCCAGGAGGAAGUGAAGCAAGCACGUGGUGUUUCUGUAGCACAGCUGUCCUGGGUCCGGGCCAGUGUACCUGCCUUCCCGGAGCCCAGGUCACGUGGCUGUCUGUCGCCACCUGCUGUCCUGUCCCAUGUGGGGAGAGACUGGCAGGGGUCUGUGCCACACUCACGUGCCCACCACCCAGGACCCGAGUCCCUCCCAGCAGGGCCUCUGGUGUGGUUUCUAGUUUCUCUGCAGGCCCUGGCACUGGGUGGUUUUAAGCUGCUGCUCCCAUGUCUCAAAGGUACCUUGCAAUUCACAGAGCCGCCUUCACACCAGCUGCACACAGCCUCCUGUUGGCUUGUUCCUGGGGCUUAAACCUAACUGAGCAGUGUUGUUCUAAGUUGCAGAGAUCAAAGACCUGGACAGCAACCUUUACCCCAUUGGCCAGAGCAACAUCAGCAAGUCAGGCAGAGGGUGUGUGCGGUUUAUUGAAGAGAUGCACAGCUGGUGACUGCAUCUGCAGAGCUGAGAACAACUGGAUCUUGUUCACACUCAGGCAGAGGAAGACUCCUGGGGUGAAGCCACACCUCCUUCUAGCCUGA
rnacentral:lncRNA from 1 species